rnacentral:tRNA from 1 species
GGGGAGGUGGCUGAGUGGCCGAAAGCACCCGCCUGCUAAGCGGGUAGGGGGUGUAAAGCUCCCUCGAGGGUUCGAGUCCCUCCCUUCCCGCCA